GACGAACGCUGGCGGCGUGCCUAACACAUGCAAGUCGAACGGAAAGGCCCUGCUCUUGUGGGGUGCUCGUUAGCCGCACAGGUGUGUAACACGUGUGUAUCCUGUCCCUGUCUUUGGGAUAACUCCAGGGAACUCGGGCUAUUAUCGGAUAUGAUCUCUUGCUGCACGUUGUUGGUUGGAAAGUUUCGGCGGUUUGGGAUGGACUCGCGGCUUAUCAGCUUGUUUGUGAGGUAGUGGCGGACGACGGCUAUGACGGGUAGCCGACCUGGGAGGGUUACCGGGCACAUUGGGACUGAGAUAGGGCCCAGAAUCCAACGGGAGGCAGUGGUGGAAAGCAUGACGGAGUGGGCGGAAGCCUGAGACGGCGGCGCCGCGUGCGGGAUGACGGCUUACGGGUGAUAAACCUAUUUCGAAUGUAACGAGGAGUGAGUGACGGUAAUUAGUAAGAAAGCAACGGCUAACUACGUG
rnacentral:rRNA from 1 species